AGGUGGAGCACCAAAAGAGGAAGUUGAAAGAGAGAAAGAUAAAUUAUAAGCUUCUCUGGGAUAAAUUUAUAGAUCAAAAAAUUUUACUCAAAUAUGCUGAAAGCAGAAGAAAGCGGCUGGAGAAAGAAGGGGCUAAGAUCAUAGCCCAAACUUGCAAAGUGGUGUUCUUUGCGGUCUUCGAGAAGUGCAAGUCUAUUGCCUCGAUGCACCUUCCUCCUGAU
rnacentral:lncRNA from 1 species